rnacentral:rRNA from 1 species
GACGAACGCUGGCGGCGUGCUUAACACAUGCAAGUCGAACGAAGUGGCGAACGGGUGAGUAACGCGUAAUCAACCUGCCCUUCAGAGGGGGACAACAGUUGGAAACGACUGCUAAUACCGCAAACUGAAGGAGGGGGUUGGGUUUGGUUAGCGGGUUGGGGGGGUAACGGCCCACAAAGGCGAUGAUCAGUAGCCGGUCUGAGCGGAUGAACGGCCACAUUGGGACUGGGACACGGCCCAGACUCCUACGGGAGGCAGCAGUGGGGAAUCUUCCGCAAUGGACGAAAGUCUGACGGAGCAACGCCGCGUGAGUGAUGACGGCCUUCGGGUUGUAAAGCUCUGUUAAUCGGGACGCGGUACCGGAAUAGAAAGCCACGGCUAACUACGUGCCAGCAGCCGCGGUAAUAC